AAAAAUGUUCAAAGAUAUUAUCAUCAUCAUCAUCAUCAAUCAUCAUGGAAAACAAAAAUGUAUCUACAAACUUUGGUAGCUACUAAAUGAUGAUGACCAGUAGUAGUGUCAGUGGUGAUGAUGUGACGAAAAAAAAAAUUGGCCAUAUGCAAAUUUCGAAAAGGAAAGAAAGAUAAAAUUCUCAUGAUAACAAUGUCUCGAUAUUUACGAUUCUGACUGGCUGAUUUUACUUUUACUAACGAAAAAUCGUGCCGAUAAAAAAAAUGUAUUCAACUACAACAUAUAUAUAAAUAUAUUAAAUUAACAAACAAAAGAACCUGAUGAAUAGGUGAAUGAAAAACCUGAA